UAUCAUCUCUAAAACAUUAAAAGAAAAUUAAUUCCAAGGUAAGGCAAUAAGAUAUUAUAUAAUUGACAACGUUAUGUGGAUAAUGAUGCAUGCCAGCGUAUGCACACACAACUUCAAUUUGCUUUAUUAUAAAUUACUAUUAUAUAUUCAGAUUUAUGAGCAAAAGACUGUGUCUACAGCUCCAGACACUGCACCAAGAGACAGCAAUGAGGGUCUGUGAACUAACACAUUAAUUUGGCUACUGCUAAGGACCCCAAAACUCAGGAUUCCCAAAUUUUUACUUACCCAAGCAAUAACAGUAAAUUCUCUUUUUGAGGUUCUAUUUCAGUUGCAUUUGAAAAAAAAAAAAUCACAAAACUCUAGAGAUGAUAGAAUGGUUAUGUUCGUCCAGUUUCUUCAUGUUACAGAUGAGAUGACCAAUUUAAAAAAAGGUAAAAUGGCCUCUCCAAGUAACAUAGCUAAUAGAUCUCUUGCUUCUCAGUAUCAAUGCCUCCAACUCCAUUUUUGUCUUCUCAACUAUUAAAUAUCAACUUUAAAUACGCUUUCUGUCUCAGUUCAUUACUGAAUUUGGAAUGGCCCUCUGGGUGGUUCCAUAAAUUUUAAUACCAACAAGGUCUAUUGAGCAAUUAACACGACCUUUCAACCAUCUUAAUCCUGUUAUCUCAAGAAAAGGACGCACUUUUACUUAGUCAUGUCUACCUUUGCCAAGCCUACAACAAGAUCUCAAAAUUUCUAGAAAAGCUGUUCUCAGUCAUCCACUAUAAAUUUGGGGAAAUAACUUAUUUUCAUACAGAACCACUAUUUUAUGUAGCAGAUUAAAAGAGAUUAAAGCUUUAAAGACACGCGGUAUUUACUUGGCAACGGCACUCUGGAGGUAUGUAGUUCACUAAGAGGACUGGAGGUGUCUAAAAAGGCACAAAAGAAACAAAAGCAUAAAAUAAAGAACCGAGAGAAUCUCAUAAGAAAAAUCAGAAUAGGGAAAUAAUAAAAGAAAGGUUAGGACUGGAACACUGAAUUUCAUUACACAGGGCUUGAAUGGCCACUAUUUUGGGCUGCAAAUUUUACACCCAUGUCCCUUAAGCAAAGAGAGAAACAACAUCUGAACAGGAUUCAUAUUGUCCAUAGCUAAAAAGCAAACCACUUUUUCAGGAUGGAAGCACAGAUGCUGCUGGUAUGAAGAUUUGCAGGCAGCUUCCCUGGCGGUUUUUCAUAGAGUCCGGUCUGUGAUGUGGUGGGUGAUGUCCUCCACAAUACUGGCGUGUGCUGGGUCUUUUCUGCUCACUGUCUCUCAACACAGGCGGAUGGCCUCAUGCCAAAUAAAGCCCAGAUAGACAACCCAUCUCACUGUGCAGAGGAAGUAUUUGCGAACAAGGCCAAAAUCUCCCUUAGAGAAGAGUCUGGCUUUACUCCAACUUCCAGACAAAUGGGCAAUUAAGGUCACAAAGCUUAAAGCGUGGUAGCAAUCAUUUUAGCCUGGAAAGUGCUCAGGGCAGGCAUUCCUCAUCGUCUACAAAAGUAAUUUGUAAGCUGGGAGUGGGGUGAGGAGGGCGCCCAGUAAUUUUUUGGUCUUUAAAAAGCAUGAUUCAACAAACUCUAACAGAAGUGUUACCAUUAACAUUUGUAUGUCUUGUAAAUUUUCAAAGACUGACUGCAGUUGGUUUCAUCUUCUCCCUCCGAGACAUCUUUUCAUUUUGACUUAUUUAUUUAUUUUUAACAAGGGGAGUUCCAGGUUAACUUGAAAAGCUUAUAAAAAGGAUAUGAGGAGCCUGAGUUUUAUUGAAAAGAAAUUAUAAGCCAAGGAGGAAUGAAUGAAUAUGAGUGUGUUGCAUGUAAUAAAUGCAGUAAUAAACAAGUCUGACUUAGCAAAAUAAGCUAUUUCAGUAAAGCCUACUCUAGGCUAAUAAUACAAAAUAGCUUGAGGUCUGGAAUUAGAACCCUGACAGCCCCAUUCGAGCCAUGAAUAAGAAGAGUGUGACCAAUGUUCCAUGGAUGACAGGCCCAACCCCUGGAAGACAAGGUCAUCCUGACUGGACUGCAAGCCCCUCACAUAGUCCAAACAGUUGAAGGCUGAUAUAACCAGCUCACUGAAAGAAUCAUCAUUUGGUGGGGACAGGAACAUAAACUUCACCAUCACUGUUUUUAACUGUGUUCUCUGGAAUCCCUCUUUCUAGUGUAUUAACAUUAAGGUAAGAUUCCAUAAAGUUCUGGUCACUUGUAGUAUCAGAAACUCAGUCCAAUGAAAUCUAACAGUUCACUUUCAUAACCAGUUCAUUCAAAGUUAACCUGCUCCACAUGACCAGCUAGAGUUAACAGCUCAGGAAACUUAGGGUUGCACGGGAGGCAGUGGAGUAAAAAAGGAAGACAGGGAGAAAGAGACAGAGAGAGAGAGGAAAUGUACAUUGGGAAUGGCACUAUUCUUUUCUCCUUUCAAACUUCUUCGGGACUGCAGAUCAUCUGUUCAGUAGGUAGUGAGUAGCAUUGUUAAUGUAACAGAAAAGAAGAGAAAAUGGUAAGGUUAUAUUACACGUAAGUAAUGUUUCAUGAAAUGUGUUUUCAUUAUUUUUAUGCAGCUAUGUAGUGGGUCAAGUGGUGGGUCAAUGUAUUUCUUACAGUUAUAUUCAAAAAAAAUUUGGAAGUGAUUUAUCUCAAUAUUGGGUGGUAGGGCAGUACAAGUACAAUAUGGUAGUGAUAGCAUGGUCUUGGAAGCCAGACCCCCUGGAUCCAAAUCCUAGGUAAUAAACCUUUCUGUGCCUUGGUUCCUAUAUAUGCAAAAGAACAACAACAGUAGAACCUAUGUAAUCCCAUGUUGCUAGGAGGAUUAGAUGAGCCAAUAUCUGGAAAGUCCACACAGAAUAGUACCAAUAGAGAUUAGCUAUUCAGAGGAAAAAGGGAUCAAAGAAAAAACAAAUGUCUCCUCACUUACCUGGAAGCAGCCGCAAUUCUCUUUCCACUGCUUCCCAGUGCUUCUCUAAUAUUAACUGGCUGCUGACUGCCUCUGCAGGUGCAGCUCUCUCGUGGGAGUCGAGGAGUUUUUUUAAAAGACAUCCAUGAGGGUUCCCAUUGCAUACUUCGCUUACAUGAGAAAAUCGGUAUCUUCCAUGUCUCCUUACCCUCUGAUACCAGCAGAAUAUCUGACGGUCUCUAGUUGCUGGGCUCUACUAACCUAGCAGGCAGGCUUCAUGGGUGGGUUACCACAGAGAUAGCACAAGCCGAGCUUCGUUCAGUGAUACCUACUUGACUCAUGCUACACUGUGGGAGUUUCUCCACAAUUCUCUUUUCAAGUUUCUUUUCAUAGGCAUUGGGGCACAUCAACAAGUCUGUCCCUUAAGCAGUUGUGCAACCAGGGAAAGAAACACUGGCCUCCUCCUCUUGUAAAAUGCCCAAUGUUUAAAAGAGAUUUCCUUGGAAAGUUCUUUCUCCCAGGAGAUCAUCUACUCGCCUUUAUGGGGCCUACCCCAUUUCCCACCACCUUAUAUCACCAAUGACUUUCCACUUCUUUCUUCUCUCUUUAAUCUUCUUAUUGGGGAGAAGGUGUUCAGGGUAGUAGGGUGGUUUGUAAUAGUGGCUGUUGUUAUUAAAGAAGUUUCUGUCACCUCUCAAUAAGUGUGAAGGAGAAGUGUAUGCCUUCAAGUGUUGGCAGACCUUUCAAAGCACUCUUCAGAAUGCCAGGGCCACGUGGCUCUCCAUUCUGAGUCUUAGUCGCCAAUUAUGGGGUAACAAGUAAGGUCCUACUCAAAUCAUGUGAUACUAACAUGUAUAUUGCAACUAUCAAGAGAAAAUGUAAAGCAGAAAGGAAAGAGAAAAGCAGAAUCAUCAGGAGUCCAUGAUUAAGAUAAGAGACAGGAGUAGCAAGUAGCAUUAUGGUCAAACAAUGGAGAGGAUUUCAAACAAUGUAGAGGCAUUGUGUACCUUAGUGUUCUGAUGCUUAAAGUUAAGAGAUCCUCUGUGUGUGUCUCUGUGUGUGUGUGUGUGUGUGUGAGAGAGAGAGACACUAAACAUACCAUUGUUCCCUCCAUAUCAUAGUCUUUGAACGCAGUAGACAUAUUUAUAGGAAUACACUAAGUCAAAGUGGAGUGGCCAGCAUACAAGAGUAUUCUACAUGCCAGAGAAUAUAACUCAGUGUAUAAUAAAUGCCCUUUUUGGCUUGGAUUCAAAAGCCUCUAUGGCAAAGGACAGAGAGAAAUGACAUUUAACAUAGGUGAACACAAAAAAACAUUGAAGGAUCAGUACAAGGCUGAAGCACUGAGUUGUAUACAAUGUGUUACAUACGAGAACACAGUUCAAAGAUGGCAGUUGUUAAAAUAUUUUUACAUAUAACAGCAUCUACAGCUGCAAAACACUACACCCUCCUAAAGCAGAUGACUUCAGCCAUGCUCUACUGGAGGAGAGGGUCUUGGUCAAAAGAGCAGACACUGCCCUUACAUAUGCCUAAUGGCCUGCUAGAAAAGCAAAGCAGUUUUUUUUUUUUUAAAUGCAGUUGAUUGUGUCAUGUGUGUUUCUGAAAAUCUUUUCUAAUUAAAAUAAGGCAAGAAACCACCAGAUCAAGUUAUGAUAAUAACUUUGCAUGUCAUAAAGGUAGAAAAAAAUACGUGGUUUCUGGAAAAUGCAUUACUAACGCACGGUAUUCUCCAACAGUUUACAACACUUACAAAAUCAGUAGAUCGUGGACCUUGCUUAUCAACUUUCUCUGUAAUUCUGGUCAAAGCUAAACAGUGAAGGAAGUUGGAGAAAACUUCAGCUAGUUUCAUGUUUGCAGAGCCAUGCUUCCUUUACAUGAUUAUACACACUUUUUUUUUUUUUUUUUUUUUCUGAGAAAGCCAUCUUCAAAUCCCUUAAGCACACAUUCUUGCAUUGGUGCAGGGUAGCUCUUUAAACCCCGUCAAAAGGAUUGAAAAGUAGCUAUGAGCAGCCAAAGAGGGUUCUGGGACUUGGAAAAGUCUUAUGUUUCAAUGUGCUGACAAGUAGAAAGACACAGGUUAUCAUGAAGAUGAUGGUUUUUAGGACUGUGGAAAAAUCACCUUGGGGAAAAAAAUCACUCAGUCUUUAAUACUGUAACCAGUAUGAUUCAUUUCUCUGGAUUCCAGAUAAGUAGUAUUUUAUGGUAUUAAAAUGCUUCCUAAACUCAUGAAUUAUCUUUAAGUUCUUCCAAAUUUCUGAAAUAAGCUAAAGGCCAAAGAUUUUUGGUUCUCCAAUGCAGCAAAGUUAUUUUGAUAUUCAUGCUCUUUCCUAAAAUAAUACACUUUCAAUGUUUUACGAACUAAAUUUCUUACAAUAGAAAUUUGGAAUAUUCUCUUUUCAAUAGUUAUUACAGGCAAAUAGUGAAUUUGUUUAAUGCUACUUUUCUUACUAAAUAAAACAUGAUCAUAUUUUUUGAUGUGAGACUGUACCUAAAAAGGAUUUUGUAAAUCUGUAUUUAUGAACAAGAAAAGUUGAUGGUUAGAAAAAAACAGAAUACAGACUAGUUUACAGACUAAAUGACAAAUUAAAGUGGUAUAUGCAGGUAUAUCUAUCAUAGGAAGAUGAUUAGAAAGAUGCUUCGAAAAUGUGUAACAGUAUCUUUGGGAGAGAAUUUGGCUGUUCUUUACUUCCUGCUGUGGAUUUUUCUGCAAUUUUUUUCUCUCUAUAAGUAUAUACCAUUUUUACUUAAGAAAGAAAAAAAGAAAGGAAAGAAAGAGAGAAGGAAGGAAAAAGGCUACGUUUCCAAAUAGAAUAUCAACCUAUGAAAAGAAAUAUCUUCUGUUGUAUUUAAAACUAGCAUGUCAACUCCCUAAAAUUGACUGUAGUAUUUAAUUUUUAAAAAAAAUCCGGAACAGGCAAGAAAGAAAGAACAUAUAUCUCCCAAUUACAGCACUACCUACUUGUUAACAUUUUUCACAAGAAUCUCCACGGCCUAAAAUAAAAUUGUUUCUCCCGUCGUUUCGGCUAUGAGUUUCCUAAGAAGUUCUAUACAGGAGGCACAGAGAUAUCAUGCUCGUCUCCAAUGGUAAUAAGAGGAUAUACACGCAGAAGGAAAUCUAUAGCCUCAUUUUUAGGUAAUCAAUAUCCAAAUACAAUGCAGACAGCCUGCAAGACCCUAAAAUCUUUUUUAAAGAAUAUAUGAUAGUCAUAACUUUCUAGAAAACAUGGUAAAACUGUUACUAUAUUAUUGAGACUUUUAGCCCAAACAAAUAGGUCAUUUACUACUAUUACAAGUCAGGAUAAAUAUUUUGCAAUCUUAUCCCAGCUGUGCAUGCUAUUUAUUAGCACUUUGCCCCAAUAUGAUCAAUGCAUUUAAAAGAUGCUUUUUUAAGCUUCUAUCCUUCAAAAUUAGUCUGCAUUUCCCAUCUAUUAGUAAAUGGCAUAAUACUAUUCUUAAGAAAAAUUGGCCUGGACAAGCAGUGGAAAACAAAAACGAAUGAACAAACAAAAAAUAAGGAAAUGGACAGACCUACGGUUAAACAGUUCUUCAGACAAAAAAAAAAAAAAAAAAAAGCUUUGCAAAUCUAAUUGCUAUUCCAGAAAAACAAGUGUUUCUUCAGUUUCUUUGGCAUUGUUCCAAAUUCAUCCAGCAAAGUUAUUUAAGUAAAAGACUGACCGUAACUGCGUAUGUGAGGGUUCUGUUCAUUUGCCAGAAGAAAGAGAAAGAUACAAUAAGCAUAAACUCAGCAGGAAAAUUCAGUGAUCAGAAAGGAGAACACCAAAUAAAAAGGCAACUGCUUCUGGCAAAAUGGAGUUGUUUUCUUUAUAUAGUUUCUAUUCAACUUUAAGGCAGUUCGAAUGAUCUGCCCACAAUCUUCGACAAUGUGCCUUCAUUUAAAGCUAGUCAACUGGCCUCCUGGGGAAGAAAAUUUAACUUCACGACUGCUGCAGAAUGCCAAUGGGACUGCUGGCAAAAGUAUUCUGUAUUUCAAGUUCAAAUAGUAAUAGGGUUUACUACACUGCGAGCCAGGAUCACAAAAUUUAAAUGGAGAAACCAGCCAGGUUAGAUGCUUGGGAAAUGUCCUUUGUGUUUGUUGAAGUCUGCCUAGCAACCACUGGCAAUUUCUGAAAGCACGUUCAUCCUGGAAAAAUAAGUACCUGCCAAAAUGUCAAUCUGGUUCUAAUUGCAUACCUUUUUCCUCUUUAAAACACAUCAUGAGCUUCCGUACUUUGACUUAGGGUACAACAAAGUGUAAGAAAGAGAGCGUGUAUUGGUGGGGUGGGAGUUCUAUCUGUCCAUAUAAAGAAAAUGUUUUUUUGUUUGUUUAGACACAGACUAAACCUUUUAGAAUGUGAACAUACUACUAUUUGAUGACCUUUUAUUGUUAUUAAGAACCAGUAUUUAAAAGUAACCCGGCCUCUGACUUAAAAUAUAUAUAGGCAUACUUUUGGUCAUAAACACUUAAAAAAUCAAAAUGAUGGGCAAAAUCUAUACAUUGCUUUUAACUUAAAUUUUUAAUCAAAAAGGCACAGUAGAAAUAUUAUCGGAUUUUAAAUAACGUUACAUGAAAGGUUAUUUUUUUUCUUUUUAUAAGCUUGCCCUUUCUAUGCUGGCCAAAUUAAAUUCAAUUCUAUUUUUGAAGCUUAAGAACAUUUAAAAAGUUAAAGCAAGAAAAUACUUAUCCUUAUCUAGAUUUUUCAAUCACUCUAACGUGGUCCCAGAUGUACAAUUCCAUGGAGCCUAAAGCAAGCCAGCUGUGGAACUGCCACAAGGCACGUAUGGGAUACACAUGUCCUAAACAAAAAUCGGAGACUUCCCAGGCACAGGGGCAGGUGGGGUUCUGUUUCUGUGCUGCACAGACUAAUAGGAGAAGAGGACUGAUUGUUUUAGGGAAUUGACUCAGAGGAGCUAAACUGUCUUCCUUAUACAACUUCUGGGUAUCAGGUAGAAGAAUCACGGCCAGAUACACAGGGAGUGGUAGCCAUGCAAACCUGGCCAAGUCAGUCAAAGUCUUUGAGCCAAUUUUCUUUCUCUAAAAUGAGAAUAAAGCCACAGGGUUUCCUUGAGAAUUAAGAGAUCUCUUCUGUAGCAAGGGCCCUAGUACGAUGCUUAAAACAUUACAGGUACUUGGGAAAGAGUAGCUAUGUGUUGUAACUGGUGCUACUGUAAUAAUUAUUAGUAAAAA